UACCAGACUCCUACGGGAGGCAGCAGUGGGGGAUAUUGCACAAUGGAGGGAACUCUGAUGCAGCGACGCCGCGUGAGGGAAGAAGGUUUUCGGAUUGUAAACCUCUGUCUUCGGUGACGAAACGAGACGGUAGCCGAGGAGGAAGCCACGGCUAACUACGUGCCAGCAGCCGCGGUAAUACGUAGGUGGCAAGCGUUGUCCGGAAUUACUGGGUGUAAAGGGAGCGUAGGCGGGAAAGCAAGUUGGGUGUCAAAUCUACCGGCUCAACCGGUAGCCGCACUCAAAACUGCAGUUCUUGAGUGAAGUAGAGGCAGGCGGAAUUCCUAGUGUAGCGGUGAAAUGCGUAGAUAUUAGGAGGAACACCAGUGGCGAAGGCGGCCUGCUGGACUGCAACUGACGUUGAGGCUCGAAGGCGUGGGGAGCAAACAGGAUUAGAUACCCGUGUAGA
rnacentral:rRNA from 1 species